UAGAAUGUAGCUCAAUGGUGGAGCGAUAUGACUAUAAAGGGUCUGAAACGUAUGCAGGUUCAAUUCCUGUCAUUCUAA
rnacentral:tRNA from 1 species